GGUUAAGCGACUAAGCGUACACGGUGGAUGCCCUGGCAGUCAGAGGCGAUGAAGGGCGUGCUAAUCUGCGAUAAGCGCCGGUAAGGUGAUAUGAACCGUUAUAACCGGCGAUACCCGAAUGGGGAAACCCAGUGUGAUUCGUCACACUAUCAUUAACUGAAUCCAUAGGUUAAUGAGGCGAACCGGGGGAACUGAAACAUCUAAGUACCCCGAGGAAAAGAAAUCAACCGAGAUUCCCCCAGUAGCGGCGAGCGAACGGGGAGGAGCCCAGAGCCUGAAUCAGCAUGUGUGUUAGUGGAAGCGUCUGGAAAGGCGCGCGAUACAGGGUGACAGCCCCGUACACAAAAGCGCAUGUGCUGUGAGCUCGAUGAGUAGGGCGGGACACGUGGUAUCCUGUCUGAAUAUGGGGGGACCAUCCUCCAAGGCUAAAUACUCCUGACUGACCGAUAGUGAACCAGUACCGUGAGGGAAAGGCGAAAAGAACCCCGGCGAGGGGAGUGAAAAAGAACCUGAAACCGUGUACGUACAAGCAGUGGGAGCACAGGUUUACCUGUGUGACUGCGUACCUUUUGUAUAAUGGGUCAGCGACUUAUAUUCUGUAGCAAGGUUAACCGUAUAGGGGAGCCGUAGGGAAACCGAGUCUUAACCGGGCGUUAAGUUGCAGGGUAUAGACCCGAAACCCGGUGAUCUAGCCAUGGGCAGGUUGAAGGUUGGGUAACACUAACUGGAGGACCGAACCGACUAAUGUUGAAAAAUUAGCGGAUGACCUGUGGCUGGGGGUGAAAGGCCAAUCAAACCGGGAGAUAGCUGGUUCUCCCCGAAAGCUAUUUAGGUAGCGCCUCGUGAAUUCAUCUCCGGGGGUAGAGCACUGUUUCGGCUAGGGGGCCAUCCCGGCUUACCAACCCGAUGCAAACUGCGAAUACCGGAGAAUGUUAUCACGGGAGACACACGGCGGGUGCUAACGUCCGUCGUGAAGAGGGAAACAACCCAGACCGCCAGCUAAGGUCCCAAAGUCAUGGUUAAGUGGGAAACGAUGUGGGAAGGCCCAGACAGCCAGGAUGUUGGCUUAGAAGCAGCCAUCAUUUAAAGAAAGCGUAAUAGCUCACUGGUCGAGUCGGCCUGCGCGGAAGAUGUAACGGGGCUAAACCAUGCACCGAAGCUGCGGCAGCGAACGUAUCACUUAAAGCGAUUCAGCGGGUUACGAUUGACGGAGCGAAGCGACGUCAAAGCGUAUACAAAGUCGAGUCGGUUUAAGGAUACGUUCGUUGGGUAGGGGAGCGUUCUGUAAGCCUGUGAAGGUGGCCUGUGAGGGUUGCUGGAGGUAUCAGAAGUGCGAAUGCUGACAUAAGUAACGAUAAAGCGGGUGAAAAGCCCGCUCGCCGGAAGACCAAGGGUUCCUGUCCAACGUUAAUCGGGGCAGGGUGAGUCGACCCCUAAGGCGAGGCCGAAAGGCGUAGUCGAUGGGAAACGGGUUAAUAUUCCCGUACUUGGUGUUACUGCGAAGGGGGGACGGAGAAGGCUAUGUUGGCCGGGCGACGGUUGUCCCGGUUUAAGCGUGUAGGUGUGUGUUCCAGGUAAAUCCGGUUCACUUUAACACUGAGGCGUGAUGACGAGGCACUACGGUGCUGAAGCAACAAAUGCCCUGCUUCCAGGAAAAGCCUCUAAGCAUCAGGUAACAUCAAAUCGUACCCCAAACCGACACAGGUGGUCAGGUAGAGAAUACCAAGGCGCUUGAGAGAACUCGGGUGAAGGAACUAGGCAAAAUGGUGCCGUAACUUCGGGAGAAGGCACGCUGACACGUAGGUGAAGUGAUUUACUCAUGGAGCUGAAGUCAGUCGAAGAUACCAGCUGGCUGCAACUGUUUAUUAAAAACACAGCACUGUGCAAACACGAAAGUGGACGUAUACGGUGUGACGCCUGCCCGGUGCCGGAAGGUUAAUUGAUGGGGUCAGCGCAAGCGAAGCUCCUGAUCGAAGCCCCGGUAAACGGCGGCCGUAACUAUAACGGUCCUAAGGUAGCGAAAUUCCUUGUCGGGUAAGUUCCGACCUGCACGAAUGGCGUAAUGAUGGCCAGGCUGUCUCCACCCGAGACUCAGUGAAAUUGAACUCGCUGUGAAGAUGCAGUGUACCCGCGGCAAGACGGAAAGACCCCGUGAACCUUUACUAUAGCUUGACACUGAACAUUGAGCCUUGAUGUGUAGGAUAGGUGGGAGGCUU
rnacentral:rRNA from 1 species